rnacentral:rRNA from 1 species
UUGGUUAAGUUAGAAAGGGCGCACGGUGGAUGCCUUGGCACUAGGAGCCGAAGAAGGACGGGACUAACACCGAUAUGCUUUGGGGAGCUGUACGUAAGCGUUGAUCCAGAGAUUUCCGAAUGGGGGAACCCACUAUCUUUAGUCGGAUAGUAUCCUUACGUGAAUACAUAGCGUGAGGAAGGCAGACCCAGGGAACUGAAACAUCUAAGUACCUGGAGGAAGAGAAAGAAAAAUCGAUUUCCUGAGUAGCGGCGAGCGAAACGGAAAGAGCCCAAACCAAGAAGCUUGCUUCUUGGGGUUGUAGGACACUCUAUACGGAGUUACAAAAGAAAGUUAUAAAUGAAGCGGUCUGGAAAGGCCCGCCAAAGACGGUAACAGCCCGGUAGUUGAAAUAGCUUUCCCUCCAGAGUGGAUCCUGAGUACGGCGGAACACGUGAAAUUCCGUCGGAAUCCGGGAGGACCAUCUCCCAAGGCUAAAUACUCCCUAGUGACCGAUAGUGAACCAGUACCGUGAGGGAAAGGUGAAAAGCACCCCGGAAGGGGAGUGAAACAGUUCCUGAAACCGUGUGCCUACAAGUAGUUAGAGCCCGUUAAUGGGUGAUAGCGUGCCUUUUGUAGAAUGAACCGGCGAGUUACGAUUUGUUGCAAGGUUAAGCGGAAAAAGCGGAGCCGUAGCGAAAGCGAGUCUGAAUAGGGCGCAUAAGUAACAGGUCGUAGACCCGAAACCAGGUGAUCUACCCAUGUCCAGGAUGAAGGUAAGGUAAUACUUACUGGAGGUCCGAACCCACGCACGUUGAAAAGUGCGGGGAUGAGGUGUGGGUAGCGGAGAAAUUCCAAUCGAACUUGGAGAUAGCUGGUUCUCUCCGAAAUAGCUUUAGGGCUAGCCUCGAGGUAAAGAGUCAUGGAGGUAGAGCACUGUUUGGACUAGGGGCCCUUCUCGGGUUACCGAAUUCAGAUAAACUCCGAAUGCCAUGUACUUAUACUCGGGAGUCAGACUGCGAGUGAUAAGAUCCGUAGUCGAAAGGGAAACAGCCCAGACCACCAGUUAAGGUCCCCAAAUAUAUGUUAAGUGGAAAAGGAUGUGGGGUUGCUUAGACAACCAGGAUGUUGGCUUAGAAGCAGCCACCAUUGAAAGAGUGCGUAAUAGCUCACUGGUCGAGUGACCCCGCGCCGAAAAUGUACCGGGGCUAAACAUAUUACCGAAACUGUGGAUGAACCUCUUUAGAGGUUC